GCCGGGCGUGGUGGCUCAUGCCUGUAAUCCCAGCUACUCAGGAGGCUGAGGCAGGGGAAUCGCUUGAGCCUGGGAGAUCGAGGUUGCAGUGAGCCGGGAUCGCACCACUACACUCCAGCCUGGGAGAUAGAGUGAGACUCUGUCUCAA
rnacentral:SRP_RNA from 2 species